GGUAGGGGCGCUUUUAUUGGUCCAAGACCAUUCGCCCGGCCGGGCGUCUCCUUGAUGAAUCCAAAUAACACAGAUCGCAUGGUCUCCGUACCGGCGACUUAUCUUUCAAAUGCCUGACUUAUCAACUGACGAUGGUAGACUCUGUGUCUACCAUGGCUCCUACGGGUAACGGGGAAUCAGGGUUCGAUUCCGGAGAGGGAGCCUGAGAAACGGCUACCACAUCCAAGGAAGGCAGCAGGCACGCAAAUUACCCACUCCCGGCACGGGGAGGUAGUGACAAAAAAUAACGAUACGGGACUCGAUAUGAGGCCCCGUAAUCGGAAUGAGUACACUUUAAACCCUUAUUCAAAUAUCAAUUGGAGGGAAAGUCUGGUGCCAGCAGCCGCGGUAAUUCCAGCUCCAAUAGCGUAUAUUAAAGUUGUUGCGGUUAAAAAGCUCGUAGUUGGUUCUGCGUCCCACGCUGUCGGUACACCUUUUGUUGGUGACACUGGCAUGCCGUGGUAUGUCCUGUCGGUGGCGGCCCGGAUAAAACGGUCGCCGGCUACUAUCCUACCGCGGUGCUCUUCAUUGAGUGUCGAGGUAGGCCGACACGUUUACUUUGAACAAAUUUGAGUGCUUAAAGCAGGCAAAAAUCUCUGCCUGAAUAGUGGUGCAUGGAAUAAUGGAACAGGCCCUUGGUUCUAUUUUGUUGGUCUUCGGAACACAAGGAAAUGAUCAAUGUGGACAGGCGGGGGCAUUCGUAUUGCGGCGUUAGAGGUGAAAUUCUUGGUUGCAAGACGCACUAGAGCGAAAGCAUUUGCCAAGUAUGUCUAGUAAGUGCAGUCCCGCCGAUGUUCCUCCGAUGACUCGGCGGGGAGCUUUCUUCGGGAAACCAAAGCUUUUGGGUUCCGGGGGAAGUAUGGUUGCAAAGCUGAAACUUAAAGGAAUUGACGGAAGGGCACCACAAGGAGUGGAGCCUGCGGCUUAAUUUGACUCAACACGGGAAACCUCACCAGGUCAAGACAUUGGAAUGAUUGACAGAUUGAUAGCUCUUUCUUGAUUCAGUGGGUAGUGGUGCAUGGCCGUUCUUAGUUGGUGGAUCGAUUUGUCUGGUUAAUUCCGAUAACGAACGAGACUCUAGCCAAUUAACUAGACGUUUCCGGUAUCGAAGCUACCGGCGAUAUAUAAUCUUCUUAGGGGGACAGGCGGCUCUUAGCCGCACGAGAUUGAGCAAUAACAGGUCUGUGAUGCCCUUAGAUGUCCUGGGCCGCACGCGCGCUACACUGAAGGAAUCAGCCUGUUCGUUCCCUUGGCCGAAAGGCCCGGGUAACCCGCUGAACCUCCUUCGUGCUAGGAAUUGGGGCUUGCAAUUGUUCCCCAUGAACGAGGAAUUCCUAGUAAGCGCGAGUCAUAAGCUCGCGUUGAUUACGUCCCUGCCCUUUGUACACACCGCCCGUCGCUACUACUGAUUGGAUGAUUUAGUGAGGUCUUCGGACCGGCGGUAAGCCCCUCCGACUGUCGAACGCUGGAAAGAUGACCAAACUU
rnacentral:rRNA from 1 species